GGGGCUAUAGCUCAGUUGGUAGAGCGCUUCGUUUACACCGAAGAUGUCAGCGGUUCGAGUCCGUUUAGCCCCA
rnacentral:tRNA from 1 species